UGGGGGAUAUUGCACAAUGGGCGAAAGCCUGAUGCAGCGACGCCGCGUGUGGGAUGAAGGCCUUCGGGUUGUAAACUUCUUUUGCUCUGAACAAGGCAUGCCUUUGGGGUGUGUUGAGUGUAGGGGUUGAUUAGCGCCGGCUAACUACGUGCCAGCAGCCGCGGUAAUACGUAGGGCGCGAGCGUUGUCCGGAAUUAUUGGGCGUAAAGGGCUUGUAGGUGGCUGGUUGCGUCUGUCGUGAAAGCUCAUGGCUUAACUGUGGGUUUGCGGUGGGUACGGGCUGGCUUGAGUGCAGUAGGGGAGGCUGGAAUUCCUGGUGUAGCGGUGGAAUGCGCAGAUAUCAGGAGGAAUAACGGUGGCGAAGGGGGGUCUCUGGGCUGUUACUGACGCUGAGGAGCGAAAGCGUGGGGAGCGAACAGG
rnacentral:rRNA from 1 species